CCUGCCUGGUGGAGGAGCUGAUGGAGGCCCUUCCUGAUGGAGGCCCUGCCUGGUGGAGGAGCUGAUGGAGGUCCUGCCUGGUGAAGGGGCUGAUGGAGGAGGAGCUGGUGGAGGUCCUGCCUGGUGGAGACCCUGCCUGGUAGAGGAUGUCUGUCGUGAGCAGGACUUUCGCUGUUUGUUCCAGACCAGGACUCGUCCGAGGAGAGUUGAUGGUUGAGCUGAGACGCUGGAGGACGACUAGGAAUCGACCAACAAGGAUUCCUCAUAAGUUUGCAUUUACUUAACAUUGUUGACUUAAAGGGCAAAAUACAGCGGUUACUUUGAAAUGCGUUAACAAACUACCGCUGUUUUCUUACUAGAACGUGUUUCUGGAGCGGAGGCGAGCUGACAGGGGAGCCGUGAAUCUGGAGGAUGACCAUCACUCUACCAACAAGGAUUGCGUUGGGGCCAGACUUGCGCUGUUUGUUCGAGACCAGGACUCUGGCAGAGCAGAGCUGAUGGAGGAGCCAAGACUCUGGAGGACGACAUCACUCUACCAACUAGGAUCCUC